rnacentral:rRNA from 1 species
UACAGAGGGGGCAAGCGUUAUUCGGAAUUAUUGGGCGUAAAGGGCGCGUAGGCGGCUUUGCAAGUGGCGGGUGAAAGCCCUCGGCUUAACCGAGGAACUGCCUGUCAGACUGUGAGGCUUGAGACCGGGAGAGGUGAGUGGAAUUCCCAGUGUAGCGGUGAAAUGCGUAGAUAUUGGGAGGAACACCGAUUGCGAAGGCAGCUCGCUGGGACGUUACUGACGCUGAGACGCGAAAGCGUGGGGAGCAAACAGG